UACAGAGGGUGCAAGCGUUGUUCGGAAUUAUUGGGCGUAAAGAGCUCGUAGGUGGUUCGGUAAGUCAGGUGUGAAACCUCCAGGCUCAACCUGGAGACGCCACUUGAUACUGCUGUGACUGGAGUCCGGUAGGGGAGCGUGGAAUUCCUGGUGUAGCGGUGAAAUGCGCAGAUAUCAGGAGGAACACCAGCGGCGAAGGCGGCGCUCUGGGCCGGUACUGACACUGAGGAGCGAAAGCGUGGGUAGCAAACAGG
rnacentral:rRNA from 1 species